AACAUCUGAUUGACCUGCAGCUCAGUACAUCAGCACAGGGAGGCCAGUGAGGGUGUGAAAAGUAAGACAGUAUUGGGUCAUAGCUCAGUUGAUGGUGUAGGAGCUGUGUGUCAGUACUGGGUAAGUGCUGGCUCAGUUGAGGGUGUAGGAGCUGCGUGAGCUGUGUGUCAGUACUGGGUCAGUGCUGGCUCAGUUGAUGGUGUAGAUGGUGGAGGAGCUGUGUGUCAGUACUGGCUCAGUUGAUGGUGUAGGAGCUGUGUGUCAGUACUGGGUCAGUGCUGGCUCAGUUGAUGAUGUCGGAGCUGUGUGAGCUGUGUGUCAGUACUGGGUCAGUGCUGGCUCAGUUGAUGGUGUAGAUGGUAUAAGAGCUGUGUGUCAGCACUGGGUCAGUGCUGGCUCAGUUGAUGGUGUAGGAGCUGUGUGAGCUGUGUCAGUACUGGGUCAGUGCUGGCUCAGUUGAUGGUGAGCACGUCGCUCUGGAUCUCGUGGCUCAGCUGGGUCUGCAGGUCGCUCAGCUUCUUCUUGAGCACGGCCAGCGCCGACAUGA